AAACCAUGUUGAGGAAAAUUUCACAGGAGUUCCUUGAACCUUUCCCAUGUAUUGAAUAAAGACUCCAAUUCCAUUUUCACAAAGGACGAGAUCUUAUUCCUAAGCUU